CUCAGUACUCUGAAACGUUUUGAGAGCUAUGAGGUGGACCUGGUGUACAUCACCGAGAGGAUCAUCUCUGUCUCCUUCCCCAGCGGAGCGGAGGAGCGCAGCUACACCUCCAACAUCAAGGAGGUGGCCUCCAUGCUGGCCUCCAAACACGGGGAACACUAUCUGCUCCUCAACCUAAGUGAGCGGAGGAAUGACAUCACCAAGCUUAACCACAAGGUGCUGGAGUUUGGCUGGCCAGACCAUUAUGCUCCGGCCCUGGAUAAGAUCUGCAGCAUGUGCAAGGCCAUGGACACCUGGCUCAACGCUGACCAACACAAUGUAGUGGUGCUUCACAACAAGGGGAACCGUGGGAGGACUGGAGUGGUGGUGGCUGCCUACAUGCAUUACAGCAACAUAUCAGCCAGUGCUGACCAGGCACUGGACAGGUUCGCCAUGAGGCGCUUCUACGAAGACAAAGCACUUCCUGUGGGUCAACCGUCCCAGAGAAGGUAUGUACGUUACUUCAGUGGUCUGCUCUCUGGCCACAUCAAGAUUAACAACAAGCCUCUGUUCCUGCACCACGUCAUCAUGCACGGCAUCCCCAACUUCGAGUCCAAAGGAGGUGAGUCUGCAGCAGGAUAUAACGUCCAAGGGGACAGUCACACCAGUAUCUGCAUCACCAUUGAACCUGGCCUGCUCCUAAAGGGAGACAUUUUGUUGAAGUGUUACCACAAGCGUUUCCGGAGCCCCAUUAGGGAUGUGGUAUUCAGAGUGCAGUUCCACACCUGUGCCAUCCACGACCUGGGAGUAGUCUUCGGGAAGAAUGAACUGGAUCAGACUUUUAAAGAUGAGAGAUUUCCAGAAUAUGGGAAAGUGGAAUUUGUCUUCUCCUUCGGUCCUGAGAAAAUCAAAGGAAUGGGCCACCUUGAGAAUGGCCCACAAGUGUCGGUGGACUACAAUACCCAAGACCCCCUCAUCCGCUGGGACUCCUACGAGAACUUCAACAGGGGCUGCGAGGAUACAGGAGAUGACGUUGUUCACACCCAAGGCCCCCUCGACGGCAGCCUGUAUGCCCGAAUCCACAAGAAAGAGUCCCUCGAUGGAGUGGUCACAAUCAACGUGGGCCACGCCUCCCUGCCCGCGGUUGACCACGCCCUGUCGGUCAGCAGCGACUCUGGGAACUCGACAGCAUCCGUCAAAACCGAUCGCACCGAUGACCACAGUCUUCAUCCCCCUCUCAGUCCCCAGGAGAAGAGAGAGUUGGACCAGCUUCUGAGUGGCCUUGAGGCCCCCAUGCUCCACCGCCAGGCUUACCUGGCUACCUCCACCAGCCCCGGGGGGGGAGUUCGCCACCUUGUCCCAGCCCAGGUGCACGUCAGCGGGCAUACCCGGCUCAUUGCAGCCCCCUCCGCCGAAGAGCGCGAGACGGACAUCUUGGACGACGAGCUGCACAUCAGUCAGGAGGGUAACAGCGUGGACAGUCUGGGAACACUGUCGUCAUUGGAGGGCCAGGCCACGCCCGCAGAGCUGUACUACCAAUCACAGAUACCCAUCAACAGGCAGAACGACGGGCCAUACCUAGAGAAGCUACGGGAGAUGCCGGUGCACCGGGUACGGACUUCUACGUCGGCACAGGAGCGGAUCAUGGACUCCAGUUCGCCCCAGGAAGAGGAGUACUCUCCUAACAGUUACCAGAACGGGAGUAUGCAGCGUUCCCAGUCCUUCGGGACCCCCGAGCCUGGAGGCCCCAAGCUGCCCAGGGCCCCUGAGAGGAGCACCAGUAGCAGGGAGGCAGUCCAGAGGGGGCUGAACGCAUGGCACCAGUACAGUCUGCCAGACGACCCGUUCGGUCCUCCCUUACAGAGCACCCACAGUCUGCCCCACUUCCCCCCCACCGCCUCUCAGCACGACAUAGAGCAGUCGAUCGAAGCCCUCGACAUGCUGAUGCUGGAUCUGGACCCACACACAGGACAGGUGCCCAAGUCCUACAGCGCCCCCUCUGGUCGAUGGCUGGCCGGGUUUCAACAUCGCCCGUCCAGAGUCCUGUGGCUGAGUCUCCCCUGUCGUACCCCCCCCCGAGGUCCGCCUCGUACCAGCCCCACACCAACACCACUCCCAUACACCCCCCCGAGCCCUACCACACGCGCCCAGCCCAGGGGCCUGGUGGGACGGUGGUGUCCCGCUCCCCAGACCGCAAGGGAGGGUCUCCCUAUCAUGGCUACAAUCCACCCUAAAGUUAUCGUUCUUCCUAAAUACAUUCCUGAAACUGAAGGAAAGCCUUUGGGGAUUCCUGACGCUGUUGUUGGCGUUCCAGGGAUGCGUUCCCGUGGGAUGAUGCCGGAGGAGGCUCAGGAGACCGUCCGCCGUCGGACCACUAGCGAGGGGCACUACCAGAGUUUCAAUGAGGACCCUCCAGCCCACACGGGGGCGCCGGUGCGCUCCCCUGUCCACUCGUCAGACUUCCACAUCCUCAACCCUGGAGGAAGACCCAGAGAGGGCCCCAUGCACAGCUACCGCGAGGCGUAUGGGGAUGAUGAUGCUGACGGUCGGGCUGCUGUCAGUCCUAUGUUCAGCAGUGGUGCCCGUUCUCCUCCAGGCUUGGCCAAAACCCCUCUCUCUGCUUUAGGACUGAAGCCCCACCAUCCAGCAGACAUUCUCCAUGGAGGAUCAGGUCAGAACACACACACGCACGCACGCACACACACACACACACACACACACACACACACACACACACACACACACACACACAAACAAUCCAUGUACUGUACUGUUCCUGGGGCACAGAGUUUGGAGAACCGAGGGGAAACUCUUGAAUUAAGAGGAAUAAAGAUAGUCCUAGGUUACAGCUCAGUGUUUCUCUCUCUCUGCAGCAUGAGGAUGACUUCCUCCAUUCGGCUCCAGGCUGACUCCGGCUUCCACUCCCACCCCUUGGAGAGCGCCCAGCACACCCCCGUUCCGUCCUACGGCCCCCACUCCCCUGAGGGAUCCCAGGUCAGCGUCGUGGGCCCCCUCCACACCGUCCCCGGAAGCCCCAACACACUCCACCGCACGGUGGCCACCAACACCCCACCAAGCCCCGCCCUCCAGUGCCGCCUGGCCAACCAGGCCAGCCCGGGUCUGGCUCGUCACCCCACACCGCCCAAUGGUAACAGGGUGCAAGUCCCCGGCAGCCCUGUGAUCCCCGCAAGAGGCUCCAGAACCGCCGCCGUCCCUGCUAGCCCUUUGAUGGGGCGCCACCCGAUGGCCAGUAGCCACACUACGCCCGAUGACAGACAGGGGGCACCACUCACGCCCUCCUUCCCAGUGUCACCCCAGCCGAUGCUUCCAGAGAAGAGGCGGAUGCCCAGUGGAGAGAGAGGAGGUCCAAUCCUAAAUAACAUCUACCAAGUGAGAGGUCAUACUCAAUCAUGCACAUCUCAGAAUCAUCCCUAUUUCAUUGCUUUGACCGUUGUCACUACUUGUACAGACCAGAGUCCAGACAUCAGGCUGAAUGUGAAGUUUGUCCAGGACACGUCUAAGUUGUGGUACAAGCCAGACAUCUCCAGAGAGCAGGCCAUCAGUCUGCUGAGAGACAGGGAGCCAGGGGCCUUCAUUAUCAGGGACAGUCACUCCUUCAGAGGGGCCUACGGCCUGGCCAUGAAGGUGGCCUGCCCACCUCCCACCGCCCAGGCCAAUAAGAAAGUUGGUGACAUCACGAGCGAGCUGGUGAGGCACUUCCUGAUUGAGACGAGCCCCAAAGGCGUGCGUCUGAAGGGCUGUCCCAACGAGCCCUACUUUGGAUGUCUGUCUGCCCUGGUGUACCAACACUCGAUGACUCCUCUGGCCCUGCCCUGCAAGCUGAUGAUCCCCAGCAAAGAUCCCAAUGAGGAGGCCCUGGAGCUGGACACUCCCACUGACACAGUGGCCGAGCUGGUGAAACAAGGAGCAGCAUGCAAUGUUCUUUACAUCAGCUCUGUGGACAUGGAGUCUCUGACCGGUCCUCAGGCCGUCGCCAAGGCAAUCAGCGAAACGGUGGCCGUCAACCCGUUGCCCGCGGCAACAACCGUCCACUUCAAAGUGUCGUCGCAGGGCAUCACCCUCACGGAUAGCCAGAGGAAGGUCUUCUUCCGAAGGCACUACCCAAUCAACACUGUCACCUACUGUGACAUUGACCCCCAGGACAGGAAGUGGAGCAAGGAAGGAGGUGGAACGGCGAAACUGUUUGGUUUCGUGGCACGUAAACAAGGGAGCACAACGGACAACGUCAGCCACCUGUUUGCCGAGUUGGACCCCGACCAGCCUGCUUCAGCCAUCGUCAACUUCGUCUCCAAAGUCAUGAAGCGAUGAAACCAACGAACCCCCGACAGCCAUUCUUUUUUAAUUAAAUUUUUUCUUCAUUUUUGAUUGUGUUUCAUUAUUUUCUUCUGUUCUUUUUGUUGAGAUAUGUUCUCUUUGUUUUCUUCUGCGAGAUUUUAUGUUUGAAGGACUUGGAGGUAAUCCAAGAUGGCGUCAGAGGAAGUUGUGGCUGGAGUGGUGACAGUGACAACGUGGCUCGAGCUGGUGGAGGAAGAUGCUUUCUUCCACAGGGUAACUGUGGAAGUCCAAGUGGAGAAGCUGUGUGCUAAACUAAGUAUCAGUGGGAGGAAAGGACACUGACAUGUAUCAGGUUUUCGGAUUGAUUUACCAAAGGUAGCACUCAGAACAAGUAUGUCAUUAUUAGAUGGUCAGUUUAAGGUGUUGUAGAUUUUCUCUUUUUUUUCUUUUUUUUUUACAAUGGGACUGUUGAAAUGAAACAGACAAAAACAAAAAGAAUGCUUUCUUCUUGAACUUUAUUCUGUCUUCAGAAAAAUAGUUUGCCUCAGUGGCUUCUUACUAAAGAAUAUUUAAGAAGACAUUUUGCAUGUUAGCUCGAUCUUUAAGCUUGGUCCACUAAAGUCAUUUGUGAACCCUCGAGUGGACAUUUCCCAGGCCUGUUGUAUGUUGUAAAGGGCUCAACAGCGAGAAAAAUAAACAGUUCUCAACUUCACA
rnacentral:lncRNA from 1 species